rnacentral:piRNA from 1 species
GUGCAGAAGACUGUGUUGGAGAUGAUGC